GGAUUAGAUACCCUGGUAGUCCACGCCGUAAACGAUGCUCACUCGCUGUAUGCGAUACACAGUAUGCGGCCAAGCGAAAGCAUUAAGUGAGCCACCUGGGGAGUACGUCGGCAACGGUGAAACUCAAAGGAAUUGACGGGGGCCCGCACAAGCGGAGGAACAUGUGGUUUAAUUCGAUGAUACGCGAGGAACCUUACCUGGGCUUAAAUGUAGGACGACCGUACCCGAAAGGGUACUUUCUUCGGACGGCUUACAAGGUGCUGCAUGGUUGUCGUCAGCUCGUGUCG
rnacentral:rRNA from 1 species